CUCAACCCUUUAUUAGUGGGCUCUCAUCACAUGAUACCCCACAACCAGCCCUCUCUGACUCCACUUGAUCACAAACAAUAGUAUGGAACUAACAAUGUUUGACUGAUACAUGACAGAAGGCCAUUUAAUGCUAAUCCCAGCACCCCAAAUGCUUCCUGAUCAACUCAAGAACAGUAGUAAAAAAAACACAGGAUUUACACUUAAAAAACAAAAUGCAAAAUGUAAAUAAGAUAUCCUCAUUGAAAUACAGUGCAUUAAAUUGGCAGAUAUUUUCAUUAGAGGUUUUGCAUCUGUUAUUUUACAUUUUAUUCCCAAAAUGAUUACGGUCAAAAUCCUUAAAAAAAGUGAUGUUACUAAAAGUUUAGCAGAAAAACAACAACAAAAGAUACUUGCAUGGCUGAAAUAUGUACGUGUCAUCAUUUACAAAAUUGUUUGUAACGUUAGUGACGUUGUAAAAAAAUAUAUCAUAAAGAGAAAAUAUCGUCUUCCUUGAUGGUCGCCCAAGAGAGGUGGAGCUUGGACCCAAGCCAACGUUACCCAUCAUAUCCCAGGACGCCUCACUGAGCACACCUCACACUAUUAACACCUCGCUUGUCUUUGCUCUGUGAGCCACAUAUAGAGGAAUAAUGUGAGGAUUGAUCAAAUAAUGAUGUUAAACACACCACUUCGCUUUCGUCUCCUGUGAAAGCUGGCAUCAGGAAGGAAUCAGACUGGUGUAUUUCCUCCCCUAGUUUCUGAGUUUGAACCAUCAGAUCCACUUUCAUGUUGAUCCCGAAUUUCUAGAACUUUGUUACUUUGUCUCCUGUAAUGUCAUUCCCCUUCAAUAGUGAAUCACGGUCGAUGUCAAGGAAUCCUGGGACUAGACCCAUCUCGAUGUCUGCACCAGACCUGCAUUCUGAGGUGGAGGGGGUGUACUGAGGUGGAGGGGGUGUACUGGGAGGUGGAGGGUGUGUACUGGGAGGUGCGGCAUUUGCUCUCUCCUCAGGACCCAGACUCUGGUCAUUAUCAUGACCAUCCGUAGUUGCAUCAGGGAUAGUUAUAAUAUGUUCUUGUUGGUCCCCGGUUGGUGCAGGAGAUUCACUGGACAUUAGUGGUGUAG
ensembl:lncRNA